UGGGGAAUUUUGGACAAUGGGCGAAAGCCUGAUCCAGCAAUGCCGCGUGUGUGAAGAAGGCCUUCGGGUUGUAAAGCACUUUUGUCCGGAAAGAAAUCCUCUGGGUUAAUACCUCGGGGGGAUGACGGUACCGGAAGAAUAAGCACCGGCUAACUACGUGCCAGCAGCCGCGGUAAUACGUAGGGUGCAAGCGUUAAUCGGAAUUACUGGGCGUAAAGCGUGCGCAGGCGGUUUUGUAAGACGGAUGUGAAAUCCCCGGGCUUAACCUGGGAACUGCAUUCGUGACUGCAAGGCUAGAGUAUGGCAGAGGGGGGUAGAAUUCCACGUGUAGCAGUGAAAUGCGUAGAGAUGUGGAGGAAUACCGAUGGCGAAGGCAGCCCCCUGGGCCAAUACUGACGCUCAUGCACGAAAGCGUGGGGAGCAAACAGGAUUAGAUACCCUGGUAGUCCACGCCCUAAACGAUGUCAACUAGUUGUUGGGGAUUCAUUUCCUUAGUAACGUAGCUAACGCGUGAAGUUGACCGCCUGGGGGAGUACGGUCGC
rnacentral:rRNA from 1 species